ACAUUUUUGUAUUACUUAAUUAUUGAUUUUGUAACACCCCAAGACACAAUUAUCUUUCAAGAUACAUAUUCGCCUAUUUGCAUUCCCCAAAACACUAACAUUUGGAUUUGAUCUACCUGUGGCCUUUAGAUCUUGUUGUAAGCAACCUUCGAGACAUAUGAUGAUGCAAAAUGUAUACAUAUGGCGAUGCAAGACUUAUACAUAAGGCAACACUAAUAAGGUGGGCAAAAGUGUUUUUAAAGAAAAAAACUUAAUAUCUUUUCCUAAAUUUUCCCUCCUUCUCCUUCUUUUCUCUCACGCAAGCACCUUGGCCGUCACUCUCCAUUGGCUUCACCGAAACCCACCUACCCAAAAUCUCAACUCCGACGAUCGCCCAGCUCCGGCUACCCCAAUCUUCUUCGCUGGCAACUCCACACGUCCCCAACCUUCUUCCUCACCCAUUCUUCUUUCCGCCGGCAACCCACGCGAACGGCCACAAAAACCCAAAAUUUCCUUAUGCCGCAGCCCUUCCCUCGCCGGCGACCAUCACCUACUGCAACCCUUCUCUCGCCGGCGACCCCAAUCUUCUGCAGCGUUCCUUCCCCUACCCCAAUCUUCUUCUCACGCGAACGGACAUAGACCCCCUACCCGAUUUCCUUCUGCCCAUAGAUUUUCUUCGUCGACGACCCUCACCCGAAGUUCUUCUCACUUGGAAUGCCCACAGACUAAAGAAAAUCAGCCGCACUACCCUUCUCUGCCGAUUUCCUUCACCGGCGACCCUUCACCUUGAUUUUCUUCGCUGAACGGCUCCUUGGCAGAAAUUCUCGUCUGCUCGUAGACCUUCACCGCUGUUUAUGUACUUUGAAGAAGCAAGGAAGAUACUGUUUUUUUUUUAGACUUUCUAAUGAGUUGACCAUUUUUUGUGUAUUUAAUAUUUUUUUUGUUCAUUUUGGUAUGCCAAAAUGAAAUUUAAUAUAGCUCAAGUUUAUAUAUUUUGUUAUUGCAACUAAAGAAUUAUGGUUUUUCAUAUUUUGACAAAAUAUUAAUGGUUGGAAAUAUUUUUAUUUUUAAA